GGGGUUGUGGCUCAGUGGUAGAGCACUUGCCUCCUGCGUGUGAGGCGCUGGGUUCGAUCCUCAGCACCA
rnacentral:tRNA from 1 species